rnacentral:rRNA from 1 species
UACGGAGGGGGCAAGCGUUACUCGGAAUUAUUGGGCGUAAAGCGCGCGUAGGCGGCUUUGCAAGCCGGAUGUGAAAUCCCCGGGCUUAACCUGGGAACUGCAUUCGGGACUGCAUUGCUAGAGUAUGGGAGAGGGAAGUGGAAUUUCAGGUGUAGCGGUGAAAUGCGUAGAUAUCUGAAGGGACAUCAGUGGCGAAAGCGGCUUCCUGGACCAGCACCGACGUUCAGGCACGAAAGCGUGGGGAGCAAACAGG